AUUUAUUGUGCUCAUUUAGAGAAAAAAAAAAACCCUUUUUUCGUGGAGCCAAGAGUUGAUCCUCUCUUCUUCCUCCUUAAAAACUAAAAGAUAAAAAGUGAAAAAAGAAGAAAACCGAAAGUUGCUGAGAGACCCAAAAUCCAAUCAACACUCAACGACAAGGUGAAUCCAUUAUUUUGUGUAUCAACAAACAAUUACUGAACAAGAAAAAAAUCCCACCUCAUGAAACUUUGAAAAAUACAUGCUUUCUUGAAUUCUUGUUUUACACUACUAAAUGUCCAAGUCCUAAAUUACACCAUCUUUGUUGUUGUUGAUGGUGAUGGUGAUGGUCAUAGUAGUAUUGUGAUAUUCUCUGACUGGUGACAUAGAAGGGAGAUAAUUCAGCCAUUUGGGUGCAAAAGGAGAAUGUCUUGGUGCGAAGAAAGAAAUUUUUGGUGUAACUGUUUGUAUUGGAGGAAAACCGCCAUUUUGUUGCCGCCUGAACCCGAGACCUUCUCUUUACCUUCUCCUCUUCCCGAUUGGUCUCAAGGCCGAGGAUUUGCUUCUGGAAGAAUAAACUUGGGCAAAAUUGAAGCCCUCAAAAUCUCCAGGUUCGAGUUCAUUUGGAGCAGCAAUCUCUUGCAGGACAAGAAAAAAGGAGUUUCAUUCUAUAAACCUGUGGGAGUGCCUAAUGGAUUCUACAGCCUUGGCCACUAUUGCCAAUUCAACAAUAAGCCCUUGUGGGGUUUUGUUCUUGUGGUUCGUGAGGUGGCUUGUUUUGAGCCAGAAGCUGCCAAUUCACCAACUCUUCUAAAACCCCUAGAUUAUACAUUAGUUUGGAGUUCAGAUGAUGAAAGUGAGGAGAAGUAUGGAGGAUGUGGCUUCUUCUGGCUUCCUCAGCCUCCUGAGGGUUAUAAGCCCUUGGGGUUUCUAGUCACCAACAAUCCAGACAAGCCAGAUUUGGAUGAAGUACGGUGUGUUCGAGCAGACCUGACAGAUGAAUGUGAACCCUAUCGUCUACUACUUGAAUCAUAUUCUAAAUUUUUAAAUCUACCAGUUCGAGUUUCGAGUACAAGACCCAGCCAUCGAGGAGUGCUAGGGAAAGGUGUUUCAGUUGGCACAUUUUUCUGCGGCUACUGGACCUCUGAAGAGGAGUUGAAUAUUGCAUGCUUGAAGAAUUUAAACCAACUACAUGCCAUGCCAAACCUCGAACAAAUCCAUGCACUCAUGAAGCACUAUGGGCCUACAGUUUUCUUUCAUCCCAAUGAGGUCUAUUUGCCAUCUUCUGUGCCAUGGUUCUUGAAAAAUGGAGCACUCUUGUACAAAGCUGGGGAUUCAUCUGGUGAACCCAUAGAUGCAGAGGGCACUAAUUUGCCAGGCGGUGGAACAAAUGAUGGUGCAUUUUGGAUAGACUUGCCUUCCGAUGGCAAAAGAAAUACUGUCAAACAGGGCAGCUUGGAAAGUGCAAAACUUUACGUUCAUGUGAAGCCUGCUCUUGGUGGGACUUUUACUGAUCUUGCAGUGUGGGUUUUCUAUCCCUUCAAUGGGCCAGGUACUCUUAAAGUUGGACCAUUGAAUAUUUCGCUUGGCAAGAUUGGGCAGCAUGUAGGCGAUUGGGAGCAUUUCACUCUCCGCAUAUGCAACUUUACUGGAGAGCUGUGGAGUAUAUACUUCUCUCAGCACAGUGGUGGUGAAUGGGUUGAUGCUUAUGAUUUGGAGUACAUAGAGGGGAACAAAGCUAUUGUUUAUUCAUCAAAAAACGGACACGCUAGCUUCCCUCAUCCCGGGUGUUACAUCCAGGGUUCCACUAAACUUGGAAUAGGAAUACGGAACGAUGCAGCACGUAGUAAUUUAUACGUGGAUUCAAGCACCCGUUAUGAAAUUAUUGCAGCAGAGUAUCUUGAAGGUAGUGAUUUCAUUGAGCCUUGUUGGUUACAGUUUAUGGGAAAAUGGGGUCCAACGAUUGUCUAUGGUUCAAGAAUCGAGCUAGAUAAGAUAAUUAAUCAUUUGCCCGUGGGUUUUAGAUAUUCAGUAAAGAACAUAUUUGACGGGUUUCCAGUGGAACUCUGUGGAGAAGAAGGUCCUACUGGGCCAAAGGAUAAGAACAACUGGGUGGGAGAUGAAAGAGGCUAGUUUCCUUUUCUCUCCUUUACUGCAGACUCUUAUCUCAUUGGCUUCAUUGCUUUCUGUACUCAUUACAACGGCUGUAGAAAGACUGAACUUCAAGGCUUAUCGCAUUGUAUCUACAUUUCUCAUUCUUGAUUAUAUAUAUUUAUGUAAUAAUCGAGUUCGAGCAUGGUUUCCCUUCAAGCAAAUCAGUGAUAGUGGAUCGGCAUGGGAGAGUGGAAGAAGAACAGGGCACUAGGUUGCCAUUUAUGCUGUCCAGUGAUGUUGAUGAAUGAGUUAUAAUCCGCCCGGUAAAGAAGACAACUGAGUCAGUUUUCGACUCGUGAUUUCUUUCUCUCUUUCAAUCUGCCUUUCCAGCAGACCACAUUGAGUUCGCAGCCUGUCUUUGCUAUGCUCCAAAUUAAAACGUUGUUUAUGGCGACGUUGAACAAUCGGUGCCGCUAAAUCCCAAACAGCAAAUCGGUGUAGCGAAACCCAAAUGCCAUUUGUGCAAAUCCUAAGAGAGAGAUGUUGGCGAGAAGAUUUAUUUCCUUGUUCAAGGGCUCCCAAGCUUCCCAAAUUCCGAGUGGAGUGAAGUCCUUGGAUGAAGGAAAGAGCAAGUCAUUUGGUCGAAAGGCAGUGUCUUUUGUGUCGGUUACAGUCACGGGUGGUGUUGCUUUGAGUGCUCUUGAUGAUCUUGCUAUUUAUCAUGGCUGUAGCAGGUACUUUGCUAUGUAUCUUGCGAUGAUGUUACUGGGUUUUCAGAAAGUUUGAUUUUUAUAUAUAUAUAUGUAGGAUUGGGAAAUUGAUGCCUUGGAGACAAUGUUGCUUUUGUUAGAUGAAGACAAUGCUGCUUAUUUUGUUUGUUGGUGUAAUCCAGUGUAGUUUAGUAGUAUUUCUUUGGACUAAGACAGCAGAAUGGUGUCUUAAAAUUGGCACGAAUUGAGAGGUAAAGAUGUUUCAAGCCUCUCUGUGCACGAUUUUCCUUACUUGAAUAUGAUUAUUGAAGACGACACCUUGUCUA